AACGCGAAGAACCUUACCAGCCCUUGACAUCCCGGUCGCGGAUCGCAGAGAUGCUUUCCUUCAGUUCGGCUGGACCGGUGACAGGUGCUGCAUGGCUGUCGUCAGCUCGUGUCGUGAGAUGUUGGGUUAAGUCCCGCAACGAGCGCAACCCCCGCCUUCAGUUGCCAACGGUUCGGCCGUGCACUCUGGAGGAACUGCCUGUGACAAGCAGGAGGAAGGUGGGGAUGACGUCAAGUCCUCAUGGCCCUUAUGGGCUGGGCUACACACGUGCUACAAUGGCGGUGACAGAGGGAUGCAAUACCGCGAGGUGGAGCAAAUCCCUAAAAGCCGUCUCAGUUCGGAUUGUUCUCUGCAACUCGAGAGCAUGAAGUUGGAAUCGCUAGUAAUCGCGGAUCAGCUCGCCGCGGUGAAUACGUUCCCGGGCCUUGUACACACCG
rnacentral:rRNA from 1 species